UGGAGAUGAGCUGGUUUAGCGUUUCAUUUACAUUGAAAAAGGGCUUGUUAUUUACAAGAUCUCUAA
rnacentral:tRNA from 1 species